GGGGAUUUAGCUCAGUGGUAGAGCGCUUGCCUAGCAAGUGCAAGGCCCUGGGUUUGGAACCCAGCUCCA
rnacentral:tRNA from 1 species